rnacentral:rRNA from 1 species
AUUUGGGGCCACACCACAGUGAACUCACCGCAUCCCGUCUGAUCUGCGCAGUCAAUCACUGUAGGGCCUCGUAAGUAGUAGUGUGGGGGACCAACUGCGAACACGAUGGUGCCCCAGGU